UACGGGGGAUGCAAGCGUUAUCCGGAAUCAUUGGGCGUAAAGCGCCUGUAGGUUGUCUAAUAAGUCUGUUGUUAAAGACUAGGGCUUAACCCUGGGAAAGCAAUGGAAACUACUAGGCUUGAGUGUGGUAGGGGUAGGGGGAAUUUCUAGUGUAGCGGUGAAAUGCGUAGAUAUUAGAAAGAACACCGGUGGCGAAGGCGCCCUACUGGGCCAUUACUGACACUGAGAGGCGAAAGCUAGGGGAGCGAAAGGG
rnacentral:rRNA from 1 species